CGUCAAGAUGGCGGCGGGGAGGUAGGCAGA
rnacentral:miRNA from 1 species